rnacentral:tRNA from 1 species
GGGGGAUUAGCUCAUUUGGCUAGAGCGCUUGCCUGGCAGGCAAGAGGUAGGGGGUUCGACUCCCCCAUUCUCCACCA